rnacentral:piRNA from 1 species
UGCCUUGUUGGCUGCAUCUUUGAAGCGGCU